CCUUCUUUGGACCUGCUCCAGCACUUCAAUUUCCUUCUUCUACCAAGGUGCCCAAAACUGAACAUAGUAGUCGAGGUGAGGCCUCACCAAUGCCAAGUUCAGGGGCAGGAUUACUAGUCCUGCUCACCACACCAUUCCUGAUACAAGCCAGGAUGUCAUUGGCCUUCUUGGCCACCUGGGCACAUUUCUGGCUCAUAAUUCAGCCGAAUAAUUAUUACUUUCAAGUAGUAGUGAGAUCAACAAAGAAAUCUUCUACAUUUUACUUCUACUAUGGUGAUAUGACUGUCAUUAAAAUAAACAAAAAUAGAUGCAUGUUACAAUAAGCACACUGUUCAUGAGUAACACAUUCCUUUCAAAAUUGUAGCAGUUAAUUAUUUAACAGUAUUCCACAGGAUUUACUAUUACAUAGAAAUUCAGAAUUUUCCUACAUACAUUUAUGUGUCUUAAUCAGCUGGAUGUCCCAUGAAGACAAAGUUGAAGAAAUAUUACCAAGACAUAGUUUGCGAUCACCCUAAAGAGCAAGAAAAGUUACUGAGAAUAUUUUAAACAACACUACUAGAGUGUGUCAAUGAAGUGGAAGAAAAUAAAGAACUAAAAAGACUAUUAGAAACCUACAAAGAUGACAUUACCAAUGAUUUGUAAAAUAUAAUGGCUAUGAAAUUAUCUAGGUUGAGAGGAAGAUAAAAUGUGGUUUGACAUUCAAAUCUACAGGUGCCAGCAAGAUUUGAAACUGGACAUUGUCCUUGGGAACAGCAAGUGCUCUCCAAGAUAACAUGCAAUGCUUAAUGGAUUAAUACUUAGAGUGAAGAAAAAAAUACAGACUUAGAUGCAAUCUCAUCCACAAGUCCUACUGUAGAAAUACAGGAGUGGAGGAACCACUUUGGUCUUCAAGACCAGACCUCCUCCAGAAAUGAUGCGAGAGAUGUUGAGACUCUAAACUUUUUACAAGACACAGAGCACCUACAUUCUGUUGGAAUCUAGAGGGUAGAUUUUGGUUAGAUAUAAGGAAAAUCUUUCACAGUGAGGAUUUUGAGACACUGAAACAGGUUUCCAGAGAUGUGGUGGAUGCCCCAUCCGUGGAGACUUUCAAGGUGAGGCUAGAUCAGGCUCUGGCCAACUUGAUCUAGUGUUGGAUGUUCAUUGCAGGGGAGUUGGACUAGAUGACCCUUAAAGAUCCCUUCCAACUCUAAGGAUUCUGUGAUUCUAUGAUUCUAUGAUUCUAUAAGCUAAACUGGCUUAGCAUAAAACAACCUAGUGCUUCAAAUGUUACUCUGCAAACAAUAAUCAUGGUUAUCCCAAAAAGAAAAAUGGAUUGAGAUUGUAUUUCCAUUUAGACCGUGUCUUCAUGCAAGACUAACAUUACAUUAUUGAGACUUGUCAAAUGGAUAAAACAGAUCAGGUUUCACUGAAAAGCUCAGUGAACUUUCUCAGCCAUAAGUUCAAACGAGCACAGACAUGAAUCAUCACAUUGCAUUUACUAAACCUUGAAUGCUAUGCACAUACCUGUUGCUACACCAGCAACAUUAUUUUGUUUUUGUUGGUUUUUUUGGCUGGUUGUUUAUUUUGCUGGGGGUUUUUUGCCUCCUUGUAGACUUACAUCUAGUAAGGUCUAUUACAUGAGCCACUAGAAGGAUUAUUUUCUUACCAAUAUGCAUCUGUAGGACAGUCAAAAGGAUCUGAAACAUGGUCACAAAGAAACCCACCUUCAUGGCAUGAUUACAUUGAAUAUACUAAUAAUAUUCUAUUUAGAACUGUUUAAUAUACAACAAAUGUUUUAGAAGACCUACAGUAAUUGACUAAAAGAAGAAAAAAUUAAAGUUUCCUGGCUUUUAGUAAUAUAUCUAAGUUUGCUCUUUGUAUUUCUGUUUUGUUUUAAGUCAGAAAGCAAGACAAGUUAGCUUAAACUUGUUCAGCUGCAAAGUGAAGACAACAAGUAAAAUUAAAACACCCAUGAACUGAGAAAAGGAGACAUAAGGAAGAUGUUCUAAGUUAUUAGAAGAGGUUUGUAAACUACAUUCUGAAGAGAUCUCUCUCUCUUCCUACUAAGAAGUAAAGACAGUAAAGUUGCUAAAAAUACUAAGUACUCUUAAACAUUUGUUCUGUUUUUGGAAAGUGCUUGUGUUACGCUAAAGCAAAGAGAAAUAAAAGCUGU
ensembl:lncRNA